UCUCAACCUUUAGAUGGCAAGUGGACUAAAAGAUUCUUGCAAAAAUACCAAAGAUAAAAAUAUAUUAAUAACAAUGAUGUAAGCAACAAGCAAGCUUCAGAAACAAUAAACAGGCAGAGCCGACAUUUUUACCACUCCCUACAAUAUGAGUUCAUAGUUAUCUCAGAAGUAAAAGCAAUGACAAUCUAGUUAUCUAAUUCUUGGACAUAAAGCUUGAAAAUUAUCAAGAAGACCUUCUGACAUGUGAAUUUAUACCUACAACAAAAUUAUUAGCUACUGAUAGUAUGGAGAUUUGUGAUUUGCAGAAUGUUUAUAAGUAGUUUCAUUUUACUUUGCUAUAGUUUGCUCUGUUUCAGUCCUCCAAAUCUCAUAUUGAAAUUAGAUCCCCAGUGUUGUAGGUGGGGCCUAAUGUGAUGUGUUUGGGUCAAAAGGGUGGAUCCUUCACUAAUGGCUUAGUGCUGUCCUUGAGGUUGAUGAGUAAGUGCUUGCUCUAUUAAUUCCCCAGAGAGCUGGUUGUUAAAAAGAGCCCCACACCUCCCCCUUAUCUUGCUUCCUCUUUCUUGCUGCGUGAUCUCUGCACAGGCCUGCUCCUGUUUGCUUUCUGUCAUGAAGGGAAGCAGCCUGAAACCCUCAUGAGAAGCAGAUGCAGGUGCCAUGCUUCUUGUAUCGCCUGCAGAAUGUAAAGUCUGCUUUGGCUAACAGCACCAGAAAGAGGCCCCCUGAAGUCUUGGUCAGUGUAAUUAAAGGAUCAUGAGUAAUUCCACUGGCUGAAGGAAAAAGGAUAUUCAAGUGGCAUAUGAAAGCAGAACACCUGCCCUACCUCCAGAUCCGGCAUUACAAGCACCUUGUAAGAUACCACAGCCACCACUUUCAGACUGCUGGGUAAAAGCAAGUGGUUUCCUGAGAGUCUGUCCAUUUACAGCAAGAAGUAAAAAAAGGUUCUGAGAAGAAGUGAGGAGAAGCUAACAGCUGAGCAUGACUUCCAGAAGACAGUGUGGACAGGUUUCAGGUGAGUGGAUGGGAAAAGGGAUACCGUAGAGAUGACUGAGAAUAAGAAUCCAGGAAGAUCAGCACUGAUUGGGAGCUCCAGGCUCCUUGUGAGGUUUGAUGCACAUGAGAGAAUGGCAAAAGCAGAUUUGCCUUGAAGUUCUCAAUGCAAGCAAUGAGGAGAAGGCUGGGAGUGUUGCAGGGCGCUGAGCGUGGAGUCUUGCUGGGAGUGUUCUGAGGCUUCCUCUUUAUUCCUGACAGUGGUGAAGUGGGGCCAUAGAUGGCAUAGUCUUUAUCCUGACUACUUGGAAAUCUGGGAGAGGUGUAGAGACCAGGCGAGGUUCGUCUUUUUCAGCUGAUGUGUGGGUGGCUCUUCAGAGCAGAUUUGAAAGUGUGCAAUGGAAAAUGGUGUUGGAAACGAGUUGAGUAGAUGAGUCAAUGCAACUCUAAUUUUAAUGCCCCAAACCAUGCCCAGCUCAAAAGUCACAGGGUGGUCAUAACAGUUCCACUUUUCUACUCCUGUCAUCAUUAAGCCUCAAAUAAAUAAAAGAAGGGGCCUGUCUCAACAUAUCAAAAGCUGCUGAAUUGUGUCCAUUUAUCCUUUCACUGUUGUGAGA
ensembl:lncRNA